rnacentral:rRNA from 1 species
CUAUGGCCAUAUCACCCUGAACACGCCCGAUCUCAUGAUCUCGGAAGCAAAGCAGGGUUGGGUCUGGUUAGUACUUGGAUGGGUGUGGUGAGUAUGGCUGGAUUUUCUUUUUUUUAGAGAGAGAUCUUUGCUAUAG